rnacentral:rRNA from 1 species
CGUUAGCGGCAGGCUUAACACAUGCAAGUCGAGCGACAAAGGGGCUUCGGCCCUGAGUAGAGCGGCGGACGGGUGCGUAACACGUGGAUAAUCUGCCUCGUGGCGGGGGAUAACAGUCCGAAAGGACUGCUAAUACCGCAUGUCAGGUCGGAAACCCCGGUUUCUGACGAAAAAGAGGGCGCCCGCAAGGGGCUCUCACCACGAGAUGAGUCCGCGGCCCAUCAGCUAGUUGGCGGUGUAAUAGACCACCAAGGCUAAGACGGGUAGCUGGUCUGAGAGGAUGACCAGCCACACUGGGACUGAGACACGGCCCAGACUCCUACGGGAGGCAGCAGUGGGGAAUAUUGGACAAUGGGCGAAAGCCUGAUCCAGCCAUGCCGCGUGAGUGAUGAAGGUCUUCGGAUCGUAAAGCUCUGUGGGAAGGGACGAAAAAGCCUAACCUAAUACGUUAGGUCUUGACGGUACCUUCUUAGCAAGCACCGGCUAACUCCGUGCCAGCAGCCGCGGUAAUACGGAGGGUGC